UGCUUGGGAAUCUACCUAUAGGUGGGGGACAACAGUUGGAAACGACUGCUAAUACCGCAUAAUGUCUACGGACCAAAGGAGGGGCUCUUCGGACCUUUCGCCUUUAGAUGAGCCCAAGUGAGAUUAGCUAGUUGGUGAGGUAAGAGCUCACCAAGGCGACGAUCUCUAGCUGGUUUGAGAGGAUGACCAGCCACACUGGAACUGAGACACGGUCCAGACUCCUACGGGAGGCAGCAGUGGGGAAUAUUGCACAAUGGGGGAAACCCUGAUGCAGCCAUGCCGCGUGUGUGAAGAAGGCCU
rnacentral:rRNA from 1 species